rnacentral:rRNA from 1 species
AUACGUAGGUGGCAAGCGUUGUCCGGAAUUAUUGGGCGUAAAGCGCGCGCAGGCGGUCCUUUAAGUCUGAUGUGAAAGCCCACGGCUCAACCGUGGAGGGUCAUUGGAAACUGGGGGACUUGAGUGCAGAAGAGGAAAGUGGAAUUCCAAGUGUAGCGGUGGAAUGCGUAGAGAUUUGGAGGAACACCAGUGGCGAAGGCGACUUUCUGGUCUGUAACUGACGCUGAGGCGCGAAAGCGUGGGGAGCAAACAGGAUUAGAUACCCGGGUAGUCCACGCCGUAAACGAUGAGUGCUAAGUGUUAGGGGGUUUCCGCCCCUUAGUGCUGCAGCUAACGCAUUAAGCACUCCGCCUGGGGAGUACGGUCGCAAGACUGAAACUCAAAGGAAUUGACGGG